CACGUAGGGGCCAAGCGUUGUCCGGAUUUAUUGGGCGUAAAGAGCUCGUAGGCGGUUCAGUCAGUCGGGUGUGAAAACUCUGGGCUCAACUCAGAGACGCCACCCGAUACUGCUGUGACUUGAGUCCGGUAGGGGAGCAGGGAAUUCCAGGUGUAGCGGUGAAAUGCGUAGAGAUGCGGAGGAACACCGAUGGCGAAGGCAGCCCCCUGGGCCAAUACUGACGCUCAGGCACGAAAGCGUGGGGAGCAAACAGG
rnacentral:rRNA from 1 species